CCUACGGGGGACUGUAGUGGGGAAUAUUGCACAAUGGGGGAAACCCUGAUGCAGCGACGCCGCGUGAGUGAAGAAGUAUUUCGGUACGUAAAGCUCUAUCAGCAGGGAAGAAAAUGACGGUACCUGACUAAGAAGCCCCGGCUAACUACGUGCCAGCAGCCGCGGUAAUACGUAGGGGGCAAGCGUUAUCCGGAUUUACUGGGUGUAAAGGGAGCGUAGACGGCAGCGCAAGUCUGGAGUGAAAUCCCAUGGCUUAACCAUGGAACUGCUUUGGAAACUGUGCAGCUAGAGUGCAGGAGAGGUAAGCGGAAUUCCUAGUGUAGCGGUGAAAUGCGUAGAUAUUAGGAGGAACACCAGUGGCGAAGGCGGCUUACUGGACUGUAACUGACGUUGAGGCUCGAAAGCGUGGGGAGCAAACAGGAUUAGAUACCCUUGUAGUC
rnacentral:rRNA from 1 species